AUGCGUGUUAGUGGGAAGGCAACCAAUGCACUAGAAAUCAACGUUCUAGCUGUGAGUGAGCUGUUUGCAAGCGCAAGGGUAAUUGAAUAUGGCAAGUACUUUGUCACAGUUAGGGAGCUCGCAAACUCAAUGAAGAAGGAAGGUUUUGUCUUGAGCCAUGUAAUGGAAGUUGGUAUAGAGAAUAUAAUGAUGAACUUGCCACCAGACUCAAAGAAGCUUGUGAUGCCCGUCAGGUUCUCGGUUCAGAUGCAAAACAUGGAAUUAAACGGCAAGGAGCUCGUUUCCCGGUUCAACAAGUCGAAUCGCUUGGACCGUAAAGACAUGAUUAUGUUCCCAGUUUUAGAGAACAUUGACAAGACAAAGCCUAAAACAGGCAACCAUUACUGGAUUUUUAACGUGAACAUAAGGGAUCGACGUUUUGAAGCUCUUGAUUCUUGGAGGACGCUACAAAACAAGGCUUUAGAUGUUUGCGCAAGGAAAAUAGUUGCAAGUUUUCGGUCUCUAUGGGAAGAGCAUUACGCCAGUUCCCGUGUCUCUCUGGAUGACUUUGGGCUUAGCAACAUCGAUGUUCCAAAACAAAACAAUGAGUAA
rnacentral:rRNA from 1 species